GUCUUCUCUCCGCCCGGUACCGUCUCCCCUCAACUCCAGCUUUUGCAGUAAAUGACUUCGCAGGCCAAGACUCCAUUGUAGCCUCUCUCUCUCUCUCUCUAGCUCUCUCCCUCCUCUUCAUCUUGUGUAUCUAGGGUUCCCCCUUACUAUGCUCGAUCACCCCUCAUGAGGACUCUGUCACUUUUCCUUCUCUCUCUCCUCCUCCUCCUCCUCUUCAGUCCUAGCACCGUUCACUCAUGGAAGAAGGACGAGUUCAGGAACUGUAACCAAACCCCAUUUUGCAAGCGUGCCCGGGGCCGGAAGCCCGGUUCCUGCUCCCUCGUCGCCACCGACGUCUCCGUCUCCGACGGCGAUCUCGUCGCCAAGCUCGUCCCCAAAGAACCGGACCCAGAUCACGACGAUCAAGAACCGGUCAAGCCACUCGCUCUCACCCUCUCCGUCUAUGGGGAUGGCAUAAUGAGGCUCAAGAUUGACGAGGACCAAUCUCUUGAAUCCCCCAAGAGACGGUUCCAGGUCCCCGAUGUGAUCGUCGACGGGUUCGAAUCUAAGAAGCUCUGGUUGCAGAGGCUCUCCACCGAAAAGGUUGGUAGCGACGAGCAUUUCUCGUCGAUUGUGUACUUGUCUGAUGAUUAUGAGGGGGUGGUUCGUCACGAUCCUUUCGAGGUUUAUGUUCGCGAGAGAUUGAGUGGGGAUCGUGUGUUGUCUAUGAAUUCCCAUGGUUUGCUUGACUUUGAGCAGUUGAGGACGAAGAAAGAAGGGGAUGAAUGGGAAGAGAGGUUUAAGAGCCAUACAGAUAGUAGGCCUUAUGGUCCUCAAUCCAUUAGCUUUGAUGUUUCAUUUUAUGGGGCUGACUUCGUUUACGGUAUUCCCGAGCACGCCACUAGUCUAGCCCUGAAACCCACCAGGGGACCCGGGAUCGAUCACUCGGAACCAUAUAGGUUGUUUAAUUUGGAUGUCUUCGAGUACAUACCUGAGUCUCCCUUUGGGAUUUAUGGGUCAAUUCCCUUCAUGAUUUCCCAUGGGAAGGCAAGAGGGACUUCUGGGUUCUUUUGGUUGAACGCGGCUGAGAUGCAGAUUGAUGUUCUUGGUGAAGGGUGGGAUGCCGAUUCUGGAAUUUUGCUUCCUUCCUCCCAGAAGCGGGUGGAUACUUUUUGGAUGAGCGAGGCUGGGAUUGUGGAUGCUUUCUUUUUCAUUGGUCCGGGGCCAAAGGAUGUUGUCAAGCAAUAUAUCAGUGUAACGGGUCCCCCUGCAAUGCCUCAGCUCUUUGCCACAGCUUAUCACCAGUGCAGAUGGAACUACAGGGAUGAGGAGGAUGUUGAGAACGUGGAUUCCAAAUUUGAUGAGCAUGACAUCCCUUAUGAUGUUCUUUGGCUUGAUAUUGAGCACACAGACGGCAAGAGGUACUUUACCUGGGAUAGGGUGCUUUUCCCUCAUCCUGAGGAGAUGCAACGGAAGCUAGCUGCAAAGGGUAGGCACAUGGUGACAAUUGUGGAUCCUCACAUCAAGCGUGAUGAGUCAUACCACAUACACAAGGAGGCCUCCAUGAAAGGUUAUUAUGUCAAGGAUGCUUCUGGAAACGAUUAUGAUGGUUGGUGUUGGCCCGGCUCAUCCUCAUACACUGACAUGUUAAAUCCAGAAAUCAGAUCCUGGUGGGGUGACAAGUUCUCAUUUGAAAACUAUGUCGGCUCGACACCUUCACUGUACAUAUGGAAUGACAUGAAUGAGCCUUCUGUUUUUAAUGGUCCUGAGCUGACGAUGCCAAGAGAUGCUUUACACUAUGGAGGUGUCGAACAUCGAGAACUACAUAAUGCCUAUGGCUAUUAUUUCCACAUGGCAACAUCUGAUGGGCUCAUAAAGCGAGGAAAUGGAAAUGACAGGCCUUUUGUUCUUUCCAGAGCUCUUUUUGCUGGUAGUCAAAGGUAUGGAGCAGUCUGGACUGGAGAUAAUUCAGCAGAUUGGGAUCACCUCAGGGUUUCAGUUCCCAUGGUUUUGACUCUUGGUCUGACUGGAAUCUCAUUCUCUGGUGCGGAUGUUGGUGGUUUUUUUGGCAACCCUGAACCUGAGUUAUUAGUCCGCUGGUAUCAAAUUGGUGCAUACUAUCCUUUCUUCAGGGGGCAUGCCCAUCAUGACACAAAGAGACGGGAACCUUGGUUAUUUGGAGAGCGCAAUACUGAACUGAUGAGAGAUGCCAUACGCACACGCUACAUGUUGCUCCCAUUAUUUUACACAUUGUUCAGAGAAGCAAAUGUCACUGGUGUUCCAGUAGUACGCCCUCUGUGGAUGGAGUUCCCUUUUGAUGAAGCUACUUUUGACAAGGAUGAGGCAUUCAUGGUGGGAAAUAGUCUGCUGGUCCAAGGCAUCUUCACUGAGCGUGCCAAACAUGUAUCAGUAUAUUUGCCGGGGAAAGAGUCUUGGUAUGACCUAAGAACUGGGACAGCAUACCUGGGCGGUAAAACUCACAAGCUGGAUGCUCCAGAAGACCAUGUUCCAGCUUUCCAGAGGGCUGGAACCAUCCUACCACGAAGAGAUCGGAUUCGUCGUAGCACCACACAGAUGGUGAAUGACCCUUACACUCUGGUAAUAGCGCUGAAUAGUUCCCAAGCAGCUGAAGGCGAGCUCUAUAUUGAUGAUGGGAAAAGCUUUGAAUUCAAGCAUGGUGCAUACAUUCACCGGCGAUUUGUUUUCAAAGAGGGCAAACUUACAUCAUUGAACAUGGCAGCUGCUACCUCUGGUAAUCUUCCAUUUAAGUCUGAGUGCAUAAUCGAGCGGAUCAUACUUCUUGGACAUGCUGGCGGGCCAAAGAAUGCUCUCAUUGAGCCAGGUAAUCUGAAGGCCCAGAUUGAAUUCGGGCCCCUUCUGCUUCAAGGAAGGAGGAGCUCUGGUGUUUUGACUAUAAGGAAGCCUGGAAUCCGAAUUGCAGAUGAUUGGACAAUAAAAGUUCUGUAAGAACAUAUUUCUUUGCAGACCUGUAGACUCUAGUCCUUUCUAUGUUCAGCUAUAAAUGCUGGGUUACAACGAGAACUCUCCCUUUCCUUUUGCAGAGUUCGGAAAUUGGGCAAAUGGAACUAAAAACUUGGUCGGUUUUGUUACUGAGAAGUAAGAACCACUGGAUUGCUUGAAGAUGGCCUGAAACACUAUGCAACGGAAAGUCAUCUGUUCGGUUAUUUUUCAGUCAAUUUUUGUACCGCUUACUCAUUCGCUCUUUGAAGAGAUGACAGUGAGGAAUGUUGAUGUGAAUUUGCAAUUAGAGGAUUAUACUAGAUUAACCGUUCAGUUAUCAG